rnacentral:lncRNA from 1 species
UUGCUGUGCAGGAAGCCCCUGGAGGCCGGCAGACGCCUUAUCGCUUCGUGCCAGGGUGUGCGGGGACCUGGAGGGCAGUGCCCCGCUGCCCUAGGCUCAGCAUCUAGCUCUUAGAGAGGUGACACCAUGAGCGUCUUGGAGGCACCGCGUUAAUUUAAGGACAUCUCACGAGUGAACGCUGAGCCAUGCUGGAUCUGCUGACUUCAAAUCCACAGUCUGAAGAUGUAGGAUCCAGAGCAUUAUUUGAAACAACCUGCAGCUGGGCUCAGUGCAAGGCAAAACACCACGGGAAAAGGCGGAAAACUGGCUGUUGCGGAGCGCCGGUGCCCGAGAGCUGGACUGCCGGGGCACGGGAAUCUCCCGGUGUCAUUACUUGCUGCGCCGAAAACAACCGGCGACCGAGGCUCGUUGCAGUGACUUGGGUUCAAAGCGUGGCAAUUGCACAAACCGCAUAAACCAACACUUUUACCUCGGCGGAGGGUGCAGGCUUUAUCGUGGUGCUUUUCUGCAUGGAUAUUUGCUCCAGUCGUCUUGGGCUGUUUUCCUACUGGCCACCGAACUGCCCGUGAACACUCGCGUAGCAGUUCAUGCUCGAACGGAGCAUCGUCUUUUGGUUUAGCAUAAAUCUGUCCGACUUCCAGCUGAACCAAAAACAGACACAACGCGACACGGCCAUCCCUGGGCAAAAAUAGCAGCAACCCCCCCAAGGGCGUGCUAGGCUGAUUUUCACUUACGGCUCUCGUUACACGUGCACCAAGCUCCCCGCCUGGCAAAACCCCUUUGUUUGGUGCGAAAAGGUGGGAAGAGGGGGUUUUCUGCAGGCGUUAUCUGCGUGUGCUGCUCCUUUGAGAUGCAACGGGGAACCUGGGCAUCAUGUCACGGGCUGAGGACUGUGGAGCAGCACAUUUAAAUAAGGCUUUACUUGCGCGUGGGUUUCUUUGCAGUUGAGUUUCUCUUCCCUUUUAUAUUACGAGCUGGCAUUAUCCUCAGCUCAAACAACCAGUGCACCUCCUAUUCCUAAAGGUUUUAUAACAGAUCACGUGAUUUCACUCAACUCCCUUGCUCUUUGGGCCGCCAAGGUGUUUACACAAGGCGCAUGGUGCAGAGGCGGUUUUGUUUCUGCAGAAAGGCUGCUCGGCACUGGCAGCUUUCGCAAUUCCUUGGACAAUCUUGCCCUCUCUUGUGUUUUUUUCCUUUAAAGCUAAACCUCCUAGGAGUCGACAAUUUUACCCAAUUUUCUUCACUGGAAUUUAUUUCAAGCAUGUUUGAAGCCUUCGUGAUUAAGGAUAAUCAUAAAGAAGGUGGCACGUAAAAAUGUCAUAAAUGGGUUUGAUUUUCAUCUUGCG